rnacentral:rRNA from 1 species
CAGUCGCCGCGGGAAUACAGAGGGUGCGAGCGUUAAUCGGAUUUACUGGGCGUAAAGCGUGCGUAGGCGGCUUCUUAAGUCGGAUGUGAAAUCCCUGAGCUUAACUUAGGAAUUGCAUUCGAUACUGGGAAGCUAGAGUAUGGGAGAGGAUGGUAGAAUUCCAGGUGUAGCGGUGAAAUGCGUAGAGAUCUGGAGGAAUACCGAUGGCGAAGGCAGCCAUCUGGCCUAAUACUGACGCUGAGGUACGAAAGCAUGGGGAUCAAACAGGAUUAGAUACCCGUGUAGUCCCUGUCUCUUAUAC